GAUGAACGCUAGCGACAGGCUUAACACAUGCAAGUCGAGGGGUAACAGAUCUUCGGAUGCUGACGACCGGCGCACGGGUGAGUAACGCGUAUGCAACCUACCUACUACAGGGGAAUAACCCGGCGAAAGUCGGACUAAUACCGCAUAAUACAGGGCUACCGCAUGGUAAUAUUUGUUAAAGAUUUAUUGGUAGUAGAUGGGCAUGCGUUCCAUUAGUUAGUUGGCGGGGUAACGGCCCACCAAGACAGCGAUGGAUAGGGGAACUGAGAGGUUUAUCCCCCACACCGGUACUGAGACACGGACCGGACUCCUACGGGAGGCAGCAGCGAGGAAUAUUGGUCAAUGGACGAGAGUCUGAACCAGCCAAGUCGCGUGAAGGAUGAAGGUAUUAUGUAUCGUAAACUUCUUUUAUAAGGGAAUAAAACAAUUCACGUGUGGAUUCUUGUAUGUACCUUAUGAAUAAGCAUCGGCUAACUCCGUGCCAGCAGCCGCGGUAAUACGGAGGAUGCGAGCGUUAUCCGGAUUUAUUGGGUUUAAAGGGUGCGUAGGUGGACUUUUAAGUCAGCGGUGAAAUCUCGAUGCUUAACAUCGAAACUGCCGUUGAAACUGAAGGUCUUGAGUGCGGACGAGGCAGGCGGAAUUCGUAGUGUAGCGGUGAAAUGCAUAGAUAUUACGAAGAACACCGAUAGCGCAGGCAGCUUGCCGGGCCGCAACUGACACUGAAGCACGAAAGUGUGGGUAUCAAACAGGAUUAGAUACCCUGGUAGUCCACACAGUAAACGAUGAAUACUAACUGUUUGCGAUAUACAGUAAGCGGUACAGCGAAAGCGUUAAGUAUUCCACCUGGGGAGUACGCCGGCAACGGUGAAACUCAAAGGAAUUGACGGGGGCCCGCACAAGCGGAGGAACAUGUGGUUUAAUUCGAUGAUACGCGAGGAACCUUACCCGGGCUCGAACGAUGGGGGAAUGACCUGGAAACAGGCAGCCGGCAACGGCUCCCAUCGAGGUGCUGCAUGGUUGUCGUCAGCUCGUGCCGUGAGGUGUCGGCUUAAGUGCCAUAACGAGCGCAACCCUUGCCGCCAGUUACCAUCAAGUCAUGUUGGGGACUCUGGCGGGACUGCCGCCGUAAGGUGUGAGGAAGGUGGGGAUGACGUCAAAUCAGCACGGCCCUUACGUCCGGGGCUACACACGUGUUACAAUGGGUGGGACAGAAGGCUGCUACACGGCGACGUGCGGCUAAUCCUAAAACCCACUCCCAGUUCGGAUUGGAGUCUGCAACCCGACUCCAUGAAGCUGGAUUCGCUAGUAAUCGCGCAUCAGCCAUGGCGCGGUGAAUACGUUCCCGGGCCUUGUACACACCGCCCGUCAAGCCAUGGAAGCCGGAGGUACCUGAAGUACGUAACCGCAAGGAGCGUCCUAGGGUAAAAUCGGUAACUGGGGC
rnacentral:rRNA from 1 species